UCUCCGUUGGUGAACCAGCGGAGGGAUCAUUACUGGAAUCUCAAGAUCCCACAACCCCUGUUAACCUACCGAAACGUUGCCUCGGCGGGUGCCCGGCCCGGAGCCGUGCGCUGAGACCGCAUGCGGCAGCCUACUCUUGUCUCUGCAUCCGAGCAUCUCAGAGUCCCAGAAAACAAGUUAAAACUUUCAACAACGGAUCUCUUGGCUCUA
rnacentral:misc_RNA from 1 species